GUGCUUGCUUCGGAAGCACAUAUACUAAAAUUGGAACGAUGCAGAGAUUAGCAUGGCUCCUGUGCAAGGAUGACAUGCAAAUUCAUGAAGCAUUCUAUAUUUUU